UACGUAGGUGGCAAGCGUUGUCCGGAUUUACUGGGCGUAAAGGGCGUGCAGGCGGUCUGUUAAGUCUAGGGUGAAAGCUCCCGGCUCAACUGGGAGAGGUCCUUGGAUACUGGCGGACUUGAGGGAGGCAGAGGAAAGUGGAAUUCCCGGUGUAGUGGUGAUAUGCGUAGAUAUCGGGAGGAAAACCAGUGGCGAAGGCGGCUUUCUGGUCCGGUACUGACGCUGAGGUGCGAAGGCGUGGGGAGCAAACAGG
rnacentral:rRNA from 1 species